rnacentral:lncRNA from 1 species
UUUUUUUUUUUUUUUUUUUUUUUUUUACGGUCUGGGGGAUAUUCCGGAAUCAUCCGGACUAAUGCCCAACAACGGUAGCAAGUGAGUGUCAAACAUGGGACCUUGCUGUAAAGACAGAUGACCGGAACCAACCGAGCUAUCCACUGAAGCCUCCGAUUUCCGAUUAGAAACGACGCAGUUGACGACUUCAUUUUUCCAAAUUUUCUAUGUACUCUGGAUCGGAGAGGUACGUAUUCUUCAUUAAUGACAUUAAUGCUGGCCACAGGAAGAAAGUAAACCGAUAAUGUUGCUAAAAUAUAAAAUCAAUUUCAGUGCUGGCCAGGUGGAAUUCUUGAUUCGGGACGAGUAGAUCAUACACUUGUAAUAUGGGGUGCCCAAGUGAAUGUUCGUUGGUAAGGGUUUCAUCAGCAGGCCAAUUAGAUCAGCAACACCGAAUCCAGUGGCUACACCUAACCUACACCUGCAAAUGAUGAAAGCAGAAAACGAGAGAAACUCACUCACUCUUUAAUUUUCAACUUUGUUGACAAAAUUGUUCCCAUUCUAUCGUGUUGGUAUCCUGAAAGAGAAAUGUCCUUUUUUCUUCCAAUGAAGUUGAAGUGCGAAAAUUUUCAGGUCUUCAUUUGCCAAGUCGCGUUCAUAUCUGGUGUUGCAAUUUGCACAUCAAGCUUGAAAAUGAUACCUUCACCGGGGAAACACAGAACAGAUGCCGCAUUCUGAUUUCUGAAAUCUGAACCAAUAAAAUAUUACUACAAAUGGGUGUCCUUUUCAUUACGCAUGGAUUGAAUUUAACGUAAAGUGAUUGCAUUAAAUUUUGGUGGUUGAAGUUCUGGCCACGACUAGUCUUGAGAUCUUGCGUAAAUUGUCAUAAGAUUUUAUAUUCAAAUUGAGAAUUUAACGCAAAAUUUGAAAUCUUUCGAAUCCUUCAAAGUUAUGCAAGUGACUUCAAAGAUAUUUAAAUUUGUAAUUCAUCGAUCCUUUUAACGUGUAAAAUUAUAUUUCAUUCAUUCUCUUUGUUUCAUUUUCAAAGCCAUAACGCUUGUUCUCAGCAAAUUAAAAUGAGUUAUAAAUGUUUUCUUUUAAAAUUUAAAUAUGUAUUUAAUUUUAAAAUUCCGUUGAAAAAGUUGAAAAAUAUUCGUUAAUGUUUAGAUAAGUUAAAAAUGGAACUAUGUGGCUAGAAAGAUGAUGUAUGUCCCUGUGCAACUGACUAAACUCCUUUAAAGCGCCCUACAAUCUUCCAAAUGAGAUUUGGUCCACACAUGCGAUUCCCCCGCAAGUGAUAAAAGGGAAUGCUAAUGUUUGGAUUGUAAAUUAUUUGAAAUAAUUUUGUGAAAAAAUUACGGUAGCAUUUUUUUGAUAUGAUGUAUGUGAGAUAAAAAGAUAAUUGAAAAAUGAAUUGAUGAUGAUGCAAGUAAGUCAGUGUGCGUAAAUAAAGGUACGUUUGGAUUAGCUGUUUUUUGGGUUGUUUUUCAAAAACAACACUGUAGCAUUUCGUUUUUCAAAUACAAGUCCGUUUGGAUUAGUUGUUUUUUAGGUUGUUUUUCAAAAAUUAUAUGAAAAAAUUUUACUAUAGAUGUUUUUUGGAUUAUUUUUUGAGGUAUUUUUAAAACAUAUUUUUGAGUAUUUUUAUAAUUUAUAAUUUAUAAUUUUUAUAUUUAUAUACAUUUAUGCAUUUAUAAUACAUUUAUAAAUAAAUAUAUUUAUAUAAAAAAUAUAUAAAUGUAUUAUAUUAUAUAUAAUACUAAUAUAAAUAUAUUUAUAAAUGUAUAAAUUAUAAAUGAAUAUUAUAUAAAUGUAUAAAUUAUAAUUUAUAAAUAUAUAUCAAUAUUAUGUAUAAAUGUAUUAAUAUAAUUUAUAUAAAUGUAUAAAUGUAUUAAUAUUAUGUAUAAAUAUAUAAUUAAUAUUAUUUAUAAUUUAUAAUUUUUAUUGUUUAAAUAUUUAUAUACAUUUAUGCAUUUAUAAUACAUUUAUGCAUUUAUAAUACAUUUAUAAAUAAAUAUAUUUACAUAAUUAUAUAUAAAUAUAUAAAUGUAUUAUAUUAUAUAUAUUACAUAAUAUAAAUAUAAUUAUAAAUGUAAUAAUUGUAUAUUAUUAUAAAUGUAUAAAUUAUAAAUGAAUAUUAUAUAAAUGUAUAAAUUAAUAUAUUAUAAAUAUAUAUUAAUAUUACGUAUAAAUGUAUUAAUAUUAUGUAUAAAUGUAUAAUUAAUAUUAUGUAUAUUAAUAUGAAUGUACAAAUGUAUUAUAUUAAACAUAAUACAUAAUAUAAAUGUAUAUUAUAAAUAUAUAUAAAUGUAUAAUAUAUUAUAUAUAUUUAAUAUUUAAUAUUUAUAUAAAUAUAUUAUAAAUAUAUAAAAAUAUAUUAUAAAUAAAAUAAAAUAUUUAUAAUAUGUAUAAAUAAAUAUAAAAAUAUAUAAUAUUAUAAAUGUAUAAUAUAUAUAAUAUACAUUAAUAUUAAUAUAAUCUGUAUAUAAUAUACAUAAUUGAAAUAUACACUUUAAUUUUUAUUAAUAGAUAUUAUAAAACAAAAUUGCAUAAAUAUAUUUAUAAAUUUAUAUAAAUAUAUAUAUAUACACAUAGUAUACAUAAUUGAAAUAUGCAAAUUGAAAUAUACAUAUUAAAGAUGUAUAUUUGGAAUUGUUUUUGAUAUAUUGUUUGGAGGAGUUGUUUUUUAAAUACACAUUUACUGUAGCAUUUGGAAUGUGGAAAACAGUUUUUCAAAAACAGAAGCAAAAACAAGGAAUCCAAAUGAACCCAAGGUGUAAUAAAUUACAAUCCAAACUUACUAUUCUUUUUUUUUAAUGGCAGUCCCAUUACUUGUUUCAUUAUGUAGUCUAAUAAAUAAAAUUAUAUAAUAAAAAUGAUAGUAGAAAUGUCAUUAACAAAAAAUGAAAUGAAAUUAACAAUUCUCUAAAAUUAUAUAGAACCCACGUAAGGCCAAAUGAAAAUAAUAUAACCUUUUUUUUCCCUUAAAAAUUGUUUAACGAUGUAGAGAGGGCAAUCAUGUGAAUUCAUGUUGAAGUCAAUCAGGACAGCCCCUAAAAUUGCGACUGGAGUAUAGCGCUGCGUUGGGGCAAUAUUGUCAAUUGACAACCGCCGGCUUGCUUUAGAAUUAUAAUGGAGAGAAAUGGUUCAAAAUGGAUAUUCGCACCCAGAAAGAGCAUAAUUCUCUGCGUGUCGUGCAUAUUCUUCGCCGAUUCUUCCCCGACAGAAUGAUGGACCCCACAUUUCUGACAUGGAAAACGGAUUCUUCUUUGGAGAGUUUUAGUGACGUGGAAUUUCACUUGAACAAAUUGUCAAUUGGUUGGACAAAACGUCUUACACCGCAUUUGCCUGCCUGUCUGCUUCCCCAUGACUAGGCCUGCUCACGACUCGAGCUGCUCGCAAGCUCGAGUCAAAGCUCGACUCGAGCUCGGUCAACACGAGCUCGAGCCGUUCGUCAAGACACACGAGGCGAUCUCGAGUCUUCAUUUCUUAGGCUCGAUAACUCGACGAGCCGCUCGUUUGACUCGAGUACAUGUGAAAUUAUAAAAAUACCCAUGUAUCAAUUAAAAUUUACAACUUUCUGCACACUCUCAGGCUCUAAGCUACAAUCGAUUUCGGCCACAGUAAUCUAAACUUUCCUCCUUCCUUCGAUUAGGUUAACUUCUCUCCGCCGCCGACCGACUGUCCCAAACUCCCACUGCCAUCGCUGCUACUGCUAGCUCCGUCUCCAGUCUCCACUUCCUCCCACUUCGGCUUGCUUUCCAUUGCUGCUACUGCUAUCUCCAUCUCCACCACUUCCUCCCACUUCCGCCACUGCCAUCGCUGCGCAGUAGCUCCGUCUCCACCACUUCCGCCAGCUCCACUUCAGCAACCUCCAAGCCGCGCAAGAAUCUGAGUGUGUAACCCACUGACGGACGAGGAUCUGGAAGGCCAUCUCCGGCUUUGUCUAAGCUUUUCCAGUGUCGCAAGUGUGCCACCCGCUGAGCCCAUGUCCACCACUCCCUACCGUCAUCCUCAUAUCAGUCCACUGGAAUUUGUCCCUAGAUUUUGCAGGUAUGUACUGAGGUUCUUUUCCUUUUCAUUUUCCUUUUUCUUUGGAAUCUAGAAGGUGAUCCACUUUGCUCUGCUUUGAAGUAGUAAUAACAAGGGGUAAAUGAAAUUCGAUGUCAUGCUUUUUGGUACUGUCUUGAUGAUAGUUUGCAUUCUUCCCCAUUUAUUGCUUAAGGAGAGGGGGGGUUAAGGGUUGGACUGAAGAUAAUUUUCAACGUUAAUCUUUCUGCAAGUCCCGGGCCAUCUCAAAGAGGGGUUGUGCAACUUAAUCAACUAGGCACUGGGACGGUUGAUCAAAAUACUGAAUUGGCGCUACUUGGCAUAGGGAACUUUAGAUUUUAUUUUUCCUUACUUUAAUUGAAGAAGAUAUUUGCCUAAUUGCUGACUCAUCAACUGCAAAUACUGCCUAAACAUGGACUUGCGAAUUGAUUACUGGUAUUGUAGUGAGCUGGGUAAUGUCCAUUUUCAAUUACUCUAGAGGAAGUAUAAAAGGUCUACUUUUCUGAUUAAUUUUGUAUUGGAAAUUAGAACUUUCCCAGAUUGUGGGUCAUAUCAUACGAUUUUGAUUUUGGUAGGAUAUAGGAAAUGUAUGCAGUAAACAAGGGCCUGGUACUACGUCAAUUUCAUGGCCAUAAGCAUUUGUGCAACUGGCUGUGACUUGGUUGCCAGAGGUGGCAGAUGCUAAAUGUAUGGCUUCCAUUGAUAUUUCGGAGCAGGGAAUGGAGCGGCUGCAAUUAAGAUUUUUGGUACUGAAUUGCUUAAGAUUGAGUGUCGGUGCAGUUAUCAUUCCAUAAGAUUGGGUCCACUUAUUGUGUUUGUUUCGCUACAGAAUGUUAAUUCUAUUUCAGACAUUUAUACUUGAAAAUUUUAUCCUCCAUCUUUUCUUUCUUUCACAAUUGCUGCAGAUUUAUCUUCAAUUUAAUAAAAAUUUUGAGAUGUUACUGUCUUGAUAUAAUCCCUGUAAUUUAUGUAUCAGGAUGUUGGACAUUAUUAGGAACUAAAAUUGCGCAUUUUGAUUUUGGAGAACUAAAAUUUCAUAGUAAGGUUCAAUCUGAUUGAGUUUUUGUCCAGAAGUAGUAUAUGUUUGGGGUAAUUUACCUUUAAUUUACCUUUAGUAGUAAAACCUUGUCUAAACUGCUUCCUUCAUUUUCUUUGUAUUACUUUUCAUGAACCUUUAAUAGACUCUCUUAGCCCCUUGUUAUCUUUAAAUCAUCUCUUGGAUUUACCCUUGGAUCUGAAAUACAAAGUACUGUGCAUGGCUAUGAAUUGGCUGUGAUGAAAAAGUACUCUCUUAGCCCCAAGUUUGUAUAGUCUAGUAUCCUACUUAUCUUGUACAAUAUCUUUCCUGAGUUUUAAAGCUAUUGGUAAUAACAGUUUUUUUGUGCCAGCUCCAGCUCCAGCUUCCUCAUUGUUGAUUGGAUAACUAGUGGCCGUUAUAGAAGAGGUGAAAAAUGGGACUUUGAACUUUUACUAACAGCAUUUUUCUAGAAGCUGAUGAGCCUUUGUUUCUUGACACGGUAUUGUCAUCCUCGAGCCAUGUUUUUUAACUAUGCUAGCAUCAUUGUAUACUAAGCGUGUGAUAUUGAAGAGAGUGGUGAAACUGAAGUAUUUUAAUCUUAUAAGAAAUUUUUAUUUUUUGAACUAUUGCUUGUAAUAGAUUCAUGUCAAUCUUGAAUAUCUUUAGAUUUUGGUGGAAUGUUGUAUUUCUUUUUUGUUUUAAUUGCUUUCGAGCUUUUGUGGGGCAGUCGGCAAAAUGGACAAUAGGAAAAACAAUAAUCCUGUUACCAUGUGCUUCUUUGCUGCUUUAGGUGAAAAAAAAGGAACUAUUUUCGUUUGUCUUCACAUCCUAUCUCGUAUUCUUGUUAUGCAGGUAUAAGUUCUUUUCUUGGCAGAAUGCAAUUCAAAUUCUUCUACAACUUCUUGCAUUAGUGAAAUGCUGGUUUAGCUGAAUUUUAUAUUGCUUGAUAGAGGUUUCAAAGUGUGGUUAUUUUCUUCUUAUGAUGGCAGAAACUGUUAAUUUGUAUUAGUGGAUAAUUUUGAAGAAUUUGUAUUAGUGGACAUUUGGAGAAUUAUGAUUGUAUUAGUCAAUUAGUGCUGUUUCGUGCUUAAAUUUCCAGAAAUUUUCGAGCUAUUUUCGAGCUCGAACUCGAGCUCCUAACGAGCUAGAAAUCGAGCUGUCUUCGAGCUUCAUGCGAGCCAGAAACUCGAGCGCAACUCGAGCUAUUCGCGAGCCAGAAUUCGAGCUAAGCUCGCGAGCCAUAAACGAGUCGAUCUCGAGUUUUCCUGUCGAGCCGAGCUCGAGCUCUAUUUUUCGAGCUCGACGAACUCGAGCUCGCAUAUAAACAACUCUAACUCGACUCGACUUGGCUCGUUUGCAACCCUAGACAUGCUUGGCUUCGCCAGGAAUGCAGGUCGGAAUGGAAGAGAUCUAUUCUUCCACCGUCUAAUCAAAGCCCAGUUAUUAUUUUAUUUUAACCAAGAAAAGGAAAGGUAAUAAAUUAUAGGCCCAUCCCUUUAACUGUAAGAAUGCGUGGAGCAAAUUAAAAGGUCGAUCUGAGGUUGACAGGCUAAUUACUUAAAAUAUUCCCUUACAAUUAAAGUAGUAAAUAUAACCUACUUUAUUUAAUACAGUCAACUUUUCCACCAAUAAUUGUUUUGAUAUAUGUCUUGAAUGGUAUUAUAAUUAAUGUAAAGGUAUAGUGAUUAGUUACACUUCAAAUAUUAAUGUAAGGGUAUUUUAGAAACACAUUAAGCUAUAUUUACUUUUUCAUCAAAGUUAACUAAUUUUUUAAAAUUGUUCUAGAAAAAAAUCAAGACUGUCAAAGUAGGACAGAGGGAGUAUUACUCAGCAAACUUCUUUUAUUAGUUCAGGAAAUUCAAAAUAAAUAUUCAAAAAUAAUUGGUAUAACUUUACAUAGCUGCGAAAAAAAUCAAAAUUAUCAAAAUGGGACAGAGCGAGUAUUUCCCAGCAAACUUCUUUUAUUAGUUCAGGAAAUUCCAAAAUAAAUAUUCGAAAAUAAUUGGUAUAAUUUUACAUGGCUUUGUGAAAGGUAUGGCCAGACUUUUAAAAAAAUGAAAGAAAGAAAGAAAAAAACCAUCUCUGUACCACGGCAUGGUUAUAACGAAGAGAAAAUUUUAUUCAUUCACAGACUUUGAGAAUGUCCUUUAUUCAUUCAAUGACUUUUUUUUUUUUUUACUUUUUGCAGGUGGCUGUCAGGCUGCAGCCAGUGAUCUUUAAAAAUAAAAUAAAAUAAAAUUUUGUGUCAGGUGCGAGGCUGACACAGCCGAUACCAAUAGUUUGAUACCACAAUAUUGUCAGAGUCGUAAGUGUUCGAUUUUUUUUUUUUUUUUACAAUAUUCUAAGUAAUUAGCCAGGUUGACACGACAAAGUGAUUUAUUUUUUAUUUUUUGAAAAAGGGUAAGAAAUGGACUUCGUCAUACAGCCAAUUAAGUCAUCUCAUCAGAAAUAUUUGAAGAUCAAGUGUAUAAUUUUAAAGCAAUCCUUAUUAUUAGUUGGGAAGGUUAGGACACUUUUGACCGUAUUCGCGUACUUGACAAAUGUGGGAAGCUCAUUGCAAUUAAUGGAUAAAAUUUCGAUAAUCUCUCAUUACCUAUAUACAUUUUAGUAUAUAUUGUUGCUUGUUUUCUGGUCGGGAUAAUUUCAGAAAUCAGCAUGAGGUUUCUGACAAUUUUACUAAUCUCCCCUGAGAUUUGAUAAAUUAUACUAACAGCCUUUGAUAUAAUAAGGGCCCAUUUGCUUAAUGAUGAACCCCAACACAUUAUCUGAAAUUAGAAACUAAAACAUAAGAAUUAAGUAAUUAUGGCACAAAUCAAUUAAUUAACAAAAUUAUCUGUUAACGGCAUGAACAAUAAUGUGGAAAACACAACAUUGCGCCAUUUUGUGAUUAACAAAAGUUGACAUGACCAUAUUUCAAUCGUAUAUCAAAAAAGCUGGGGUAGAACAAAGGAAACACUGAGGAAAGAAAUAAAAAAAUAAGUUUGUUCUUGAGGAUUUUUUCCCUUGGUUUAUAAACUAAAUAGAUGAUUUUUUUUGUAUCCAAGUAAUUUUGUGGAAGUGACUGAGAGAGAAGGUAGAAGAGAAGCAAAAUUGGAAGUUCUUUUUUAUGCAAAAUCACAAAAAGCAUAUCCUAAGGCAGGUAAACAAUCUCUACUAUUGUCAAUUUAAUAUUUAAAAAUUAUAAUCUUAUUUGAAAUUAAUGAAAUUUUCCUAGAAAAUUAUAAUUGCAAAACAUCUUCAUUGAUAGUUAUUUUUGCUAGUACACAUUGACAGGAAUGCAUAAGAAGCAUUUGUGGAAAAAAAAUUUCAUCUCUCUCUUGAAAGUAUUUUUUUAAUCAUACUUUUUUUUUGGAGAUGAACUACUUUUGUCACAUAAUCAUAAAUCUCAAGGGAAGUGGCCCCGUUUCGAUUGCAUUUUUCUGAAUUUUUUGUAGAAAAAUUACUGUAGCGAUUUAAUAUAUGUGAGGUAAAAAGACGAUAGAGAGAUGUGUUCACGAAAAACGUAACAAUUUUUUUGAGAGAAAUCGCAAUUCAAACAGGGUAGUAUAAUUUUCUAAAACUUGGGAUAGAUUAGUGAAAUUGUCAAAAACCUCAAGAAAGGUUUUUGAAAUCAUCCCUUUCUGGUAUGGAAAGAUGAGACACUUCCGUUAUGAAAGCAAUAACGCAUCCGCAAGUACAUUUGAUGAAAGUUCGCAGAUUUAAUCAUGGAAUGUAGACAAGAUUAAUAGCGAUGAACAAGACUUGUCAUUGCUAGGUAAUUUAAUUCAUGGCAUAAGAUCAAUGUUGGCUGUAUUUGAUUUUGUCAAAGUUAAUUAUGUGAGGAGGACCAACAAUGUUCCUGCCCACAUCAUGUCAAAAAUGUCGAUGUCCCUUGAGGAAAGUAGAGUAUGGUUUGUGAACUUCCCCAAGAUUGUUACUGACGCUGUUCUUGAAGAUUUGAAAUGAAUGAAUGAUUUCUUUUUAUGCUUCAAAAAAAAGCAUGGAAUGUAGACAAAGUUGGUUGCCACACGGCAGUUUUUUCCCCGAUUUACAGUUUUUUUUUUUCUUUUUUCUGGAUUCUUCAAAAAAUUGAUUAUUAUCAUCUGAAUUGUGGAAAGUAAUGGGUUAAAUGAUGUAAAGGGAGAGAGUGUAAGGGUGAGAUCUAGAUUCUAAUCCUCCGAAUCUAGUGAACUAUUUUUAAUUUUGUCAUCUAGAUAAUCCAUGUGGGAAUUUUUCUCUUUUCGGAAGCUGCCUGAGAAGUUUCGUUAUCCGGUCUAUUCGAUUGAUGUCACAUUUGUACCGACCUCAAAUCUCAUCCGUGGGCAGUGGGCCAGUCUUUAUUCGAAAGUAACGAACUUUUCAUGCUACGUCACAAAUAACUGAGUGCCACGGUAUUUUAUUUUUAUGGGCUAGUCUGAAUGGGCCAAAAUUCGUAGAGGGGCACCAGAUGCUGAAAAGAAGGCGAUGGAUGAAAUAUGUGGUUCAGCUGGUAUUUACGUCUCCUCUUCCAUUUUGAGAAUACUUUCCUACGAAAACUUCUCAAUUUUGGAUUGCUAUUUUUUAAAUAUUUUUGUAAAAAAAAAUUAUUGUAAUGAUUUAAUAUAUGUGAAAUAAAUAUACAUUCACGGAAAAUGUAAGAACUUAUUGAUAGAAAACUACAAUUCAAACACAUUUUUAGCUGAAAACUUCAGUACUAAAAGCAAUUGCUUCAGCUAAGUGAGUUUUUUGUUAAAAUUAUAUAUACUGCAGAAAGCUAAUUAGCAGGGAGAAUUGAAUAUUUGACAACAUCUCUCACCAACAAAUUCAGACAGCUUUUUUUAAAAAAAAAUUAAUGAAUAAUGAUCCAUAUCACAUAUAAUUAUGUGAUGCAUCAAAUAUGUUGUCCAGUCAAGGAGGUGAUCCUUCUUUGAAUAGCUAGAAAGACAAGUGAACUAUUGAGACAACUAAAGCAUCAGAGACCCUCGGAUAGUAUAAUAGCUACUUUGAUUGAUGACAUUUCUGGCAUGCAGAAGUUGUUUCACAUGUGUUCUUUUUGCUUGGUUAAGGAAAAAAGUAUGAAAAGUAAUAAAAAGACUAAUUAAGCUCCUAUGCCUUAGGCAUUCUUUUGGAUGAGUAAUGGAAUUUUCCUCAGUGUCAUUAAGCACUAAAUGUACAGUUUUUUGAGCCAUUGCUCGCACAUAUAAGCUCCUUUACACUGAAUGAAAUUAUCCUAACUUUUUCGACCAAAAAAAAAAAGAAAAAAAGAAAGACAAGUGACCAUUAUAUAGUGAUUCACCAUUCGCCAUACAAAUUCGAGGGAAAUACUCAAGAAGAAUUUAAUUUUGAUGGCAUUGAUUGUGCAUAAAGAUGUAUUGUAUAACAUGCACCAAAAUUCACACUAUAUCAGAAGUUGUCCGUUGCAGUCUCAAUAUUUGUGGUACAAGAUCAACUUUAGAAUAGAGGCCCGUGAUCUGCCAUGUUGGUCCUCAACAAAGAAACGUCUACUUGAGAAGACAGAAUAAUAGCACGAUGAUGCUAAGCGCCAAAAAAUCCGUUGAAUACAGAAAAGGGAAAAUCGCCAAUUUAGUCCCUAAACUUUUUUUUUCUGUCGAUUUAGUCCCUAUAUAUUAUUUAUAGCCAAUUUAAUCCCUAAACUUAUAUUUCGGUUCCAAUCAAGGAGUUUCGCGGCGGCGCCACCGCAUAAUUUCCGUCAGCUUCCCAAUCCAACAACAAGAAGGGGUAUUUUAGGAACUUCCAUUCUAAAGCCUUAACCAAAAUUAAAAAAAGGUGCAAACUCCACUGAAUCAUUCCGCCUACAAAAUUAAAAAAAGGUGCAAUCUCCACUGAAGCAAUCCGCCUGCAAAACAAAUCAUUCGCCACUAAAGCAUUGCUGCCACUCCACUGUGAAACUGCAACAUGACGGGCAAUUUUCGACAAUUUUUGUUUCUAGGAUUAUAUCCUCUGUAAACCCCCACUAUCCAAUUUCAAAUUGACAUCGUCACUGCUACAACCAUAGCUAUUUCUCCAAUGAUUCUGAUUUCGGAUGGUCACGGUCGGCGUCGUGGUAGUGACUCCAUUGGCAGAGCCAUAGCUGUUCCGCCGGAGAAGAAGUUGGUUUGGAUCGGACCUGGGAUCAAAAUAAUCGAAUGGUUGAAUAUCCUUAGCCCUUGAUUUGAUGGAUUGGGACAUGAAAGCGGAAUCAUGGCAGGAGUCAGGAAGAAAGAUUCAAAGGGCGAGAGAAGUCAAGGGGUCUAUGUGGAUGUCUUGGGUGGCAACUCCGUCGGUGAAGGAAGGAUUGGCGGCGGCGAUGGACUCCUCACGAGGACGAUAGGUGACUCCAAAGGAUGAGCUGAGGCCACCAUCGGCUUGAGGGUUUUGCAUUUGGUUCUGCUGCAUUGGUCCUUGCUUUGAAAAUCCACCGCAUAAUUCAGCCGCAUUGGGUUUUACGGGAGAUUUGGAUUUUGGGUGGGUAUUUCUCCAUUGAAUUGGGUUUUGGGUCUUUUGGGAGAUUUGCAUUUGGUUCUGCGGCAUAAUUUCCAUCGCCAAUUCUUUCGGGAGAUUAUGCCGCAUUUGAAAAGCAAGGACCAAAUUCAGACUCAUUGGAUUUUGAGAACUCAAUUGAAUUUGGUUUGAGCUCAAUUCAGAAUCUGAUGGAAACUCAAUUGGAUUGAAUUGAGCUGACUAGAUUCGAAACUCCAAUUCACAACAUCCAAGUGAAGUCAAGAAUUGAAUCUUGAGUUAUGAGAAACGGCAAGAUUGCACCUUUUUUAAUUUUGGUUAAGGCUUUAGAAAGGAAGUUCCUAAAAUACCCCUUCUUGUUACUCGAUUGGGAAGCUGACAGAAAUUAUGCGGUGGCGCCGCCGCGAAACUCCUUGAUUGGAACCGAAAUAUAAGUUUAGGGAUUAAAUUGGUUAUAAAUAAUAUAUAGGGACUAAAUCGACAGAAAAAAAAAGUUUAGGGACUAAAUUGGCGAUUUUCCCUACAGAAAAUUAUAAGUGGAUGGAGGAACAGAAAUUAAAGCGACCCUCCGGUUCCAAAUUCAUACUCAUCAGAUUGGCGCCAGAAUUGACUUCCCGCCAAUACUGAAACACCGCGCAUUGCCGCCCUAAGGUUCCCUAAUUAAGUUUUUUUUUUUUUUAUUGUCACCAUUCAUAUGUUUUUGACAAGUUGAAUGCCAAAUUGAGAAUUCGAAGACCCUGGCAAAGUACAUAGACUCGAACAAUUGCUUUCAUUGGCACAAGUGGAAAGCUAGGUUGGAUUAAAUUUCCCAUUCCUGCACAAGGGAAAAAGUACUCCCAAGAAGAAAAGACAGAAAUCUAGCAGGCCGUGUGAAUAGGCCCAAGCCUAUCUAAUUUGUUCAAUAGGGCUCUCAAUGCACGAUAAAAUGGCCCGAUUCUUCACUCUACAUGGGACCCCCGCAAAACAAAUGGAUUGUUCAUGGCCCUGAUCAGCAAAAAAGGAAUCCAUGUAAUUUUGUUUCUUGUUCCAGUGUAAUGAAAAAAAUAGGCCGGCCCAAAAUGGGGAUUAUGUUUAUUCCAUAGACCAAACUCCAGCGAAUCACAGGGGACAGCAGCUACUAGGGUAACAGAUGGGGAAAUGCGAAGAGCAGCAUCGCAUCUUCGUCAGGAUGAUGAUCUCCGUUCUUUAUCCUUUUCUUACGGUACACUUCUGUUGAAUGAGGAGUGAGAUUACUCUUGAAUGUGGACCAAUUCUUCUUAUCUCUCGUGAGCUGAGAGCUGAGGUGCAACGUUGCUUGCUUUGUUUGUUUUAUUUCCCGAUAAUCAGAAUUAGUACUUUUUUCUUUGAUCGGUUCUUCAGCGGAGGAGUUGUGUUUGUCAGAUUUCUUCCGACUUAAAUUUUGAUAAUCGCCAAACUCUACAGUUGAAUGCUUGAUAGAAGCUCCGGAAUCGGGACACCAGCGAGCCUCCUAAGCCAUGGCAAAUGAUUCUUCUUAGUUCUUUCUCCAGGGGUGACUUGAAGCGAAAAGGCAUAACUUUUCUCACGGGCCUGAAGAAAUCGGAAUUCCCAAGGCGAGGAUGAAAAGAAAGAUUGUAGCAAGGGUUUGCGAAGGAUUAAAAUAAGAAUGAUCUGGGUUGAACAUCCCCUAAUUCCAGCCAAUGUCAAUGCGACGCAGGAAAAGUCAAAAGGUUGAACAAUUACCAUUGUGGUACCAACAAAUGAUUUCUGCGGGUAUUUUGCAUCAAAUCAAAACUAUAUAAGAUUGACAUGUCCAAUCACACUCGAAUUAUCAAGCAAUUAACUAUUUUGCAUAAACGCAUCUUCAACAUACUGCUGCUCAAAGAAAAUAAUACAGAGACCACCAGCCACAAAAAAAAAAAGAAGCUCCAUGCAUAUGUCAAGGAAGAUGUACCAACAAUUGAUUGCAUGAAAAACCCACAUGUCCAUUAGAAUCGCAUCACUCAGCAAUACUAAGAUCAGUCCAUUUAACCAGUCAGCCCUCAAAAAACCUUUAAAACCUACUGCCCAAAAUUUAUUAGACUAUGCUACUAUAAACAGACAAAUCACUACCGAGUCAAACUCAAGACAACGCGGGUUCACUGAACAUUAACAUGGAAAACAUCACUCCUCUCCUCCUCCUUGACUCUUGGAAUGAAAACCUUGAGGACCCCAUUUUUCAUCUCAGCUUUGAUCCCAUCAGUCUUGUAGGUCUUCUCAGGAAGAUCGAGUCUGCUCGAGAGUCUCCUUCCCCGUUCAGCAUCCUCAGAUUCCUUCUGCCCUUCGCCUUUGAUGAUCAGGGCGUUCUGCUCCACCGAAACUUUGACGUCCUCCUUCCCCAACCCUGGCAUGUCCAACGACAGGUUCAGCCCUUCGGCAGUCUCCUUAAUGUCCCACCCACGACGGACUCCAGAUGUAAAAGUUGGCUCACUGAAUUGGUUCACCAGGUCCAAAAGUUGGCUCACGCUCCUCGUCGAGAAUGGAUCAAAAACUCCUGCACAGCCACCAGACAGAAAAGGAAAAAAUAAAAAAGGGUUGAAAUGGCUGAUAGGAAAAAUAGGGCGGGGUUUCAAAGCACAUAAGCGUAUUCCCAAGAGAGAAACAGACAAAAAAAAAUGCGGGAAAUUCAUUUGGUACCAAAGUAAGGUGAGUAAUCGCGGCGAUUGUAGAGAGGACGAUUGGAGCGGCGAUCGACGUCGAGACCGCGUUCGUCAUCGUCGUCAUCGUAAUCGCGAGCGACGUUGGUGUUGAACAGACGCGAUGACGCAGCAGACGCAGCCGGGCGGAGGGAAUUGACAGAGCGGCUGAGAAGGGUCGAUGAGACCAGCCUUUUCAAAGCGAGGGAUGCAGCCAUCUGACCAGCUGAUUCUCGUCGUCGAUCGAAAAGAGGGGCAGAAAAAGGAAGCGAUUCACAGAAGAGUUUCUUGAGGGUUUUUUCUUAGGUACUAUCGAGUGUGCUUCACGCUAUCGGAAAGGUGAACUGUGUGGUAAAUAUAUGAUAGCUGACUGAGUUCGGAGAAUUUACUAGAUGAAUCUAGAGGCUCCUGGAACCAUACACACAGAGUCGCCUUCCGCCGACUAAACUAGCAGGGCUUGGCGGCUUGGCCCAAUACGGCAAUGCUUACUCAGGAUGGAAGGGGCUUGUAUUGGGUUGGACUAGUAGCUCACUAUAAUACUUCUGGAGCCCAUCUGAAAUGUGUAGGUAAAAUAAGGUAGGGAAAUUUUAUUGAACAUCCGUUAUCCAAAUCAUUUUAUUUAUUUAUUUUUUUUGCCAUAGUUUCCUGUUUACGGCCAAGGCUUUUAAAAUGCGUUAUUACUAGGGCUCGUAUAUUGAACAAACUACUCGAUGCUCAUUACACGUAAUUUGUUUAUUUAAAAUGUGUUAAAAAUGAAUCAAACUACUCAAUAUUCAAAUUGAGAUUGGCUUGGUAAAAGCAUAGUUAUUAAAUUAGGUCUGAAAAGCAACUUGGCAAAUGAGGUGAGUUGAUGAAUCACUGGUUCAACCAAUAGGUGAGUGGUUAAAUCAGUGAGUCGCUGAAUAUAUUUAAAUAUUAUGUUUUAUAAUUUUUGAUAUAAAAUAUAUGGUAUAAAUUAUAAUAAACAAUGCUAUAGCAAAUGCUCAUUGAAUUUAAUUCGCUAUAGAAUAAUUAAUUCAUAUAAGAAUCAUCAUAUCAUAAAUUUAUUUAGUAAUCCACCAAAUUUCAAGUGUAAAAUUUUAUAUGUGUUUAAUGUAAUUAUCUAGCUUAUUUACGAAUUUUAAGUGCAAAAAAAAAUUAUUAAAAAUAAUAUUUUAUCUUUAAAAUUAAUUAUGUAAUAUGUUAUUUUUGAAACCCAUUUUAUGACUUAUAGUCAUAGAGCUUGGGGGUCAUAAGUUUUUAUAAAUAUAUCAAAUAAAUUUGUUUUAGAGAAAUACAAAAAGAAUAAAGAUAGAAUUGACAAAACGUUCAUAAAUUAUAUAAAAAAAGUUACUCAACUAAUAUAUGACAAGUAGUAUGGUGGUGAGUAUACUAUAGAUACAUGUCUAAAGUCCCAAGUUUGAAUUUUAGCAAGAAUAUUUUUUCCACAAAACCUGGUUUGCUAACAAAACUGGCUGGGUUCUCGGUUUAAUCCAGUUGAACUGUCGGGUCGUUGACUAGUUAAAGGAUUACACGUUUAAACGAUACAAUUAAAAACCCAAUCCAAUCCAGUAGUUGGUUUAUCGGAUUGACUGGUUUGAUCAUUGGAUCGGGGCGAGUUUAAUAAUUAUGGGUAAAAGCUCGUUAAAUCUUGAUUCACUAAUUAGCCAAGUCAAAUUUAAACAAUAUUUUAUAUUCGAUAACAUUCAAAUUUGAUAAAAAAAUUCGUUCAAUCUCGGUUUAAUAAACAAAUAAGCCAAAUUUAAAUAAAAUUUCAAACUUGUUAAAAAUAAUCAAACAAUUUUCAUAACAAUCAAAGUUGAAUUGUGACCUUAUUAGUGAAGCAAAUUCAAUGAAACUAGAGUGUUUUGAUUGAUUAGACUCAUUUAUAUCCUUAGUUAUUAGAACCCCCAUAAGUCAAAAUUGACAAACAAAUCAAAUGAUUGAUAUAUAUAUAUAUAUAUAUAUAUAUAUAUAUAUAUAUAUAUAUAGUCAAAAAAUUGCACAAAUUGUCCCUUACAUAUCAUUAAAGUAAAAGUUUAGUCUCUCAAAAUGAAGAUAAGUGGUUUUAAUUCUAGCAUCUAAAAAGUGGUCAUUUUUUGUCCUCCGACGACCUUUCCAACCAAUUUUAACCAGAAUGUGUCGAGAACUCCUCACGUGCUUUAUAUUUAAAUGGUAAAUUUGGUAAAUUUAUUAUUACACUGACCCAAAUAUAAAGGACCUAUUGCUUCCAUAUUUGUUUUAUUAUUAUUUGUUUUAGGCCUUUUUCAAGAUACACAAAAGCCAAAUAUCUUGUUACAUCCUUCAAUUAUUGAUAAGCAUAUGGUAGAAUGUUCCAAAAUUUGUCCUCGAAAUCAUAUAUAAUUCUAAAACAAAUGCAGUAUUUAGACAUGAUGAAGCAUGCAUAAACCAAUUUCUAUUUUGAAAUACGUUUUGAAAUCUGGGAUUCUAAAACAUACAAAAUGUACAUCCAACUUCCAAAUACAUUGUGUAUUAAGUUGAGAUAACUGUCUUCUAAUUGUGCAAUCUUUUAACAAAAAGGUCCUUAAAAUUUGCCUUGAUUUUUGCUUUCUUUCUCUUUUCAUUUCAUGAAUGCUUAAAUGAAGUGAGUUCAACUAAAACUAACAAAACUUAUUUUCUUAUGGAGUCUUGCAGGAAAGUUUCUUUCCCCUCCAUUUUUCUUACUUCUAUGUCUCUUCCGCGCAGAUAAUAUAUGAGUUGGAUUGUUUUCUCAAGUGUUGUCAAUCACAAAAUAGCGCUAUGUUGUAGCAUCAAUUGGUGUCAUUUUGUAAGUGCACUUAUAGUGCCUAAUUAGGUAAGAAAUAAUUCUUAAUCUUGUUUAAUUAGUUAUUUUGAACUUAUUUAUUACCCUAAUUUUUUUGCCCCAAAUUUAUUUAUUAACAACCUUAACCUCAUACGGUAUAGAAAUAAAUUCACCCUAUCUUAUGUCAGUUAUAGGUCCCAAAUUCAUAUUAGGAGAGGUUUUCUGCAAUUAUCCCUAUCAAAAUUGAGGUUGACUCUCAUUCCCUGACUCUCAUUUGUCGAUCUUCUUCUCAGCCUCUCUUUCACCGAUCCGUAGCUCCAUAGCCUAGUUAAGUUGCAAGUUCCUAGUCGGAAACUCCGCCAUUACUCUUUUCCUCGGAUCGUCUCAGCCACUUCACCUCCUCUGCUAUUGUUGUCUUCCUCGUUCUCAGCUAGUCAUUUGCCGCAAUAUCUCUCCAUUACUCAUACGGUUAGCUUCCUGUUAAUUUUUUUGUUUCUUUUAUUUAAAGGUUUUAUUGUUUUGUGGGAAAGAAUUAUUAACUCUUGUUAGGAUGAGUGAUAUGGUUUCAGAGAUAUUACAAGGUCUAUAUCAUGGUUCAAAGUCGCGGUCGCGGUCGCGGCUUGGAUCGUUCCACAUCGGUCUCGACAUAUGGGUCGCGGUCUCGGCGAGAAGUGAAUUUUUGAAAUAUUUAAUAUUCUAAAAAAUAUAAAAAAUAUGAUAAAUAAAAAUAAUUAAAAAUUAGUAAAAAUAAUAAAAAUUCAAGUUGAUUCGGAGUGACUCGGUGUGACUCGGCCGUUUCAACCCUUCACGAUGACGUCUCGGUCUGUCACGUAUCUCGAAAACGUUUCGUCGCGAUCUCAUCUCGGACUAGGCCGAGACCGAGUCGUCUCCGUCUCGGCCGAGUCUUCGAACCGUGGUCUAUAUACGGGUCAUAGACUGAGAGUUCACUCAACUAUUUGCACUUUAUAUUUGGGUCAAUGCAAUAAGUGACUUGUCAAGUUUACCUUUUAAAUAUGAAACACGUUAUGGAUCUGUGAUUCAUUUGGGCCAAAAUCGGCCCAAAAAGGUGUUGGAUGACUAAAAAUGAGCACAUUUUACGUUAAUUGUCGAUGGAGCGGUACUAAGAUUUGUCCUCAAUUCGAGCCGUGGCUCAAAAUUGACAGUCAAUGAGCCCUAUAAAUUCAAAAAGAGGCAAUAUCGCAUUCUGCCACUCCCUAUUCAAUCGACUGCACUAAAUGACCGUCCAAAGUCGCUGUUUUGUAAGUUGUAACUAAGAAACUGUAGGAUAUAUUAAUCGACCCACAAGAAGUCAACAAUAUAGCCACAAAACGUAAAGCAGCAGUGCGGAACGAAGACACGCAGGAGGCAAUUCGCUUGACAUAGCAAUCGACUCACAAUCUCGCUACAAUUGAGAAGCGGGCUAGUAUCACAUAUUUUAUAGGCUAUAGUCAAUUUCCUAAUAUCUAUACACUCUGGUUUUUGAACCGACUAAAGAAACCAAAACACAAUUGGACUCUGGAUCAACAAUACGCAAAAGCUUUAAGGAAACAUCAAACAAUUAGGAAAGCCAUCGAAACAGACUUGGACAAGGACACGGCCAACAAUUACUAUAAAGUGAACGAACGCCCCCAUCAAUGGUAAAAAUUCCAGUACCAGAAGUUUGAUCUCUGUUUUCUGCAGUUCCAGCAGCAGGGCAGGCAAAAGAAUAAUGGCAGGAGUUGGUUCUAGAGCAAUGAAAAGAAUUAGGAACAGAGGAAACAGAAUGCUGGUGAACUCGCCUAUGAUUUCCCUCCCUCCUGAGCUUGUUACUGAGGUUCUUGCGCGUGUUGCUUCUUCUUCAGCAACUGAUCUAUUUACAGCCAAAUUAAGGCACGUACAAAUAGAAAAUUUCCAAUUCAAGAAUUUAGCAAUUUUCUUUCUUUCUUUCUUUUUUGUGAUGUUGAAUAUAUAUAUAUUUAUUGUUUUCAGCUGCAAGGUGUUUUCUCAAAUUGCUGAGGAAAGCUACGUGUAUAAACGGGUCUCACUCGACAAGUUCCCCGUUGUGGCAUGGCACCACCGUCGCCAAAUUGCGGCGUUCUUCAACAAGUGUAAAUGCAGUAAAAAUCCCGAGGCCUUGUAUAGACAAGGAGUGGUAUGCAAUAUAUACGCUCAAAUCCCAAACACUCCAGAUAAAAUCUACGCUGUUAUGGUGACAUAACGUGCUAGUUAAUGUCUGAUCUCUUUACGCUUCAACACUCAAAGAGAUUUGAACUUAUUAGUGCCGGAUCAUACAUGUCCACUUAAAAUUUACUCCGAUUUCAUCACUUUUUAAGACGCUACGCAAGUUUGGAGUACGUUAAUUAGAUAGUCUUGCCAAAUCUUGCGAAUAAAUAAAAUAGAUAGCCAUAAAAGAAGGAAUAGAAAAGUUACGGCCUUGUUUGGAAAUGGAUUUUCUACCAAAAAAUGUUUAUGUUUUUUCGUGAACAGAUUUUUCGAUCACUUUUUUAUCUCAUACAUAUCAAAUUGUUACAUAUAUUUUUUACAAAAACUUCAGAAAAUUGCAAUCCAAACACUAACUCUUUUGGGUGUUGUAUCUCAUUGCAACACGAUUUCCCUUUUUGUUUUUGGUUUCACGAUGACCACAAAUUAGUUUAAAGGUGGUCCCUUAUACAGCCAAGUUCUGGUAAUUAGCCAGAUUACUUACGAUUUAAAUUCGAUCCAAUUGCUUAGGUUGAUUUUUUCGGGGGCGAGGAACUAAACUCUGCAAUCGAAUGCUUGAAAGAAGCUAUGGAGUCGGGACACGAGGGGGCUUCCUACGCCAUGGCAAUUAUUCUCAUCUUUUUCGGUGGUGACAUGAAGCAAAAAGGCAUAACUUAUCUCAAGGGAAUGAAGAAAUCAAGAAAUCUCGAAGGAAGGAUCGGCUAUUGUCGGGAGAGUUUGCGUAGGAUUAUAAGGAGGAUUUGGGUUAAAAAUCCGCUCGUUUUGAAUGAGAGACCAAAAUGCUGUACCAUGCAACACGAGAAACACAAAGGCUGGACCAGGUAUCAAUUUGAUAGAGACGACAACACCUGCGAGGCCUGCAAAUGUGAUGAAGAAAUUGCUUACAUCUGUGAUGCGCUCCCUCAAAUCAUCAUCUGACUUCAACUUGUUAUGUAUAGAAUUGCUUUGGACGAAUAAAAAAACAUGUUUAUACCAUCUUCUUCCUCAAAAUGCACCUUCAGCGAUCCUACUGAUAAAUACUGAUAACAUAAAUUACUGAUAAGUAACCAUCAGACCGAAAAGAGGUAAAUCAGUAUGAGAAAUAUGCAUCUUCAGCAAAAUAGGCAGCGCGAAAAAGUUACUGCCAAAGCAAUAUUCAUUUGAAGGAUAAACCUUGACAAUUGCGAGAGAAAACACCCAAAAAUUUAUUACAAGACCGCAACCGGACAGGAAACUGGAGGGAAACCUGAAAGGCAAUCAUUUGUGCAGUUUUCUUCGGAAGAAGACGGUUCCCGAAACAUCCAUCAAUAAAUGACGAACUCCAGCAUACACGUGAUAGAAAAGGGCUAAGGCAGCAAUCUCGGCGGAUAUUAGGCUGAGUUUCGAUGAAUAAAAGAAGAAUUGGUAGAAGCUCCCGUGGCUGAAGCAAAUCGAACCCAUCUUCAUAGAAGCAAGAUAAAAAGACAGGACUAAUGCGGAUAGAUAAAUUCCGGAGAUUCUGUUUAAAAUUGACAUCGUCGAGUUCACCUGGGGCUGGUAUAUAGGAAGAUGAGGAGAUAAGGGGCGGAAGACAUUUUUUCUUGUAUCAACUUUCGGGCUGACAUCAUCAUCCUCUUUGCCCGUCACUCGCAGAUUCAGACCAUCACCGGUCUCCUUAGCUUCAGACCCAGGACCGACUCCGGAUGCGACCGAAGAGUACUCACUGAAUUGGCUCACGCUCCUCCUCCAAAAUGGAUCAAACACACCUGCAUUAAAGACCCAGACAAAAAAAUUUUUAAAAAAAAUUAAAAAUAAAAGAUCAGUCGAAAAAUCGUCGAUUUAAAUAAAAAUAGAAAGGGACCCAUACUUCAUUUCCGCUGCGCUAUAUCAAUUGGCGAUAAGUAGGAGAAGAUCAGAGGCUAGGAUGAAAAUUCCCCAAAUUAUAUACAUAGAAGAGACAGAUUAUAGAUCUGGUAGGGGAGCAAAAAAGAAAAAAAAAUUUACCUGGAAAAGAGGAUAAUUCGCGGCGAUGGUCGAGAGGACGAUCGGAGCGGCGGUCGACGACGUCGAAAACACUUGAUGACGCAGCGGAAGCAGCCGGACGGAGGAGGGGAUUGAGAGACCGGCUGAGAAGGCUGCUCGAUGAGACCAGCCUCUUAAGAGCUAGUGACGAAGCCAUCUGAUGAUCUGAGUUAGCAGCUGAUUAGGUAGUUGCUCGAACUCCCGGAGCAAGAAAGAAGGAAAGGAAAAAACAAUAGAUCUGGGGAAAAAUCAUCAAGGUUUUCUCUCAGGCGACCUGAAAUGUUAUCUAGGUGGUUUCCUAGUAGGACUGCAGGAUGGAUAAACUUCUGAGUACGGAGAGUUUACCAGAUGAAUCCAAUAGGCUUUUACUGGGCUUAGCCCAGAAUUAUGGGCUGGGUUAGAUGGGCUGCGGAUUUUCCUUGUAGAAUACUUUGUGUAUAUUACUACUAUGAGUGCGUUUGAUAAAAUUAAAGUAUAAAAUUUAAAAUUUAAAAUCUGAAUUUAUUAAAUUAUUGAAUUAUUAAAUUCAUUAGCUUAUUGAAUUGUUGAGUAUUAAAUCUAAUACAUUCGAGUGCAUAUCACAUUCAGUGAUAAGUGAAUAGUUUAUCACUUAAUUUUGGGAGCAUGUUUUGCCUAUAAUUCACUUAUAACUUAAUUUUGGGAGCACAUUAUAUCUAGAAAAUUCAGUUUCACUUAAUUAAUUUGGAUGUUCAAUUUUUGGUUAUCAAAUGAUUUGAAUAUAUUAAGAUCUGAUUCUAUUAAAUUUAAAUGCUGAAUUAGAUUAUCAAACAGGAAGGAAUCUUAUCGGGUCAAAAACAUUUUUUUUUCUAAUUUUUGUCUAUAAAAAAAUCAAGAAUUAAUUGAAUAAUUUCUAACUCCUUCGAUAUUUACCGAUUCAUUUUAUCAAACCAAAUACUUAGAACUCGGUAUAUUUAGCACGACUAAUGCGGCAUGUUAGCAAAGUAAAUGCUACCAUGUAUAAUUAUUUUAAGGAAAAUUUGUCAAAUUGGUCCCUAACAUUUUUACAAAAAUUUUUUUAGUCCCUAAUAUUUAAAAUCAGCCAGAAUAGUUCCUAACAUGUAAAUUAUGAGUCAAUUUGGUCCUAAUGCUCAUAUUUGCUCUUUUUUCCAACUAAAAAUAGCACACCGGCAUAAUUUCAAUGACAAAAUCGGAAACAUUCGUUAAUCCCAAAUUUUCCAAGCUCGGAUCUGACUGAAAUUUCUGAUCUGAUUGAAAUUUCAGGAAAAAUCCACGUUAACAAGGAAGGAAGGACCCCCAAGGAUAUCUUCACUGAAACUCACUAGGAGCUCGUGAAGAGUGGGGGACAGUGGCUGACCAACAUCUCCCAAUCAUGCUCCGUCGCGGCAGCACUCAUAGCCACGGUUGCCUUUGCAAUAUCAACCACCGUUCCAGGCGGUGUUAAGCAAGACAUCGGUACGCCAACGCUGGAGAACGAGCCGGCAUUUGACUGCUUCGCCAUUUCAUUCCUCGUUGCACUUUGCUUUUCGGUCACCUCCUUAGUCAUGUUUCUAGCCAUUCUCACGUCCAAGUACCAAGAAAAAGAUUUUGGCACCAGCUUGCCUAGUAAGCUUCUGUUGGGCUUAACUUCGCUGUUUGUAUCCAUAGCUUCCAUGCUCAUCUCAUUCUGCUCUGCCCACUUUUUUGUGCUCGAAGAUAAGCUCAAGUUCGCGGCCUUCCCCAUUUAUGCAGUGACUUGCUUGCUUGUCACCUUGUUUGUUAUAGUCCAGUUUCCUGUGUACUUUGACCUUAUUUGGGCUAUCAUUCAGAAAAUUCCCCAGUGCAGCUACAAAGUCAUUCCUUUAUGACACAGAUUGAUGUAUCUUCAACCCAAGCAUGUUUAUGUAGUACAUAUUUUUGUUUUGACAAAAAAAUUCUAAAAAUACCGGUCCAAAUUGAAAAACUUAUCAAAAUUUCAGUUUCCUAGGCCUUUGGCCCUGCCUAUAUUUGCGGAUUUAUCUCGAAAUUUCAGUCAGAUCCGAGCUUGGGAAAUUUGGGAUUAACGAAUGUUUCCAAUUUUGUCCUUGAAAUUAUGCCGAUGUGCUAUUUUUAGCUAGAAAAAAGAGCAAAUACGAGCAUUAGGACCAAACUGACUCAUAAUUUAUAUGUUAGGAACUAUUCUGACUGAUUUUAAAUGUUAGAGACUAAAAAAGUUUUUUGUGAAAAUAUUAGGGACCAAUUUGACAAAUUUCCCUUAUUUUAAACCUCAGGGAGCAAAUGUGAAAAUUAGCCCUUUUUGAAUCGUCAGUUUUCAGUUAACUGGGUUUAACAAAACGGACUGACUGAAGCCAAUAACCGGGAAAUACAGCCACCGGAGGGCAAUCCUCAUUAUCGACGCCGGGAUCCGCAAAGAUGAUGGUGGAUCUGAGUGCAUUUUCUGACGAGAAAUUCGACCCUAAAAGAUGGAUAAACGGCGUCUGCCAGUCACGCCACCCUCAGGACCCUUUAGACAAACACUUGGUGGAUCUGGAGAUGAAGCUCCAAAUGGUGUCUGAGGAGAUCGCCGCCUCCCUCGAAGAACAGAGCUCCACCGCCCUCCUCCGGCUCCCCAGAGCUACGCGUGACGUCAUCCGCCUCCGUGACGAUGCUCUCUCCCUUCGUUCCUCCGUCGCUUCUAUCCUCCAAAAACUCAUCAAGGUCACCACUCGGCCAUUUUUUCACUUUAUUUUUUCCACUUCUAUUAGCUGAUUUGAUAGUAGAUUUGUAACAAUAGCAAUGCAUUGGCUAAUUGAAAUGUCGAGUUAUUAAUCAAGCAAUUAAUUGAAAGUCGAGUGAUUAAUCAAGCGAAUGAUCAAAAGUUCGAGCGGUUACUGAAGCCAUUGACUCUGCUUUAGGAAGUGUUUUAGUAAUUUAAUUUGGUGUACAGGCGGAAGGAUCAUCGGCCGACUCUAUCGCUACACUAGCCAAGGUUGAUACCGUCAAGCGAAGAAUGGAAGCUGCUUAUGAAACAUUGCAGGUUGCGGUUCUGUUGAAUAAUUUUAUUUUUCAAGUCUUUAAUCUGUCAGUUUUGAUUGAUGCUGCUGUUUAAUCGUUGUGGAUUAUGAGCAGGAUGCUGCUGGUUUAACUCAAUUAAGCUCAACAGUGGAGGAUGUAUUUGCUAGUGGUGAUCUUCCGCGUGCAGCUGAGACUUUGGCUAAUAUGAGGCACUGCUUAUCUGCUGUUGGUGAGGUAGUUAUUCAGUGAGGCUCCUAGCUAUGAAGGUUCCACUGCAUUCUUUAAUAAUCCUGCAAAUUUUUCAGGUUGCUGAAUUCGCCAAUGUUAGAAAGCAGCUUGAAGUCUUAGAAGAUAGACUAGACUCCAUGGUUCAACCUCGUCUAACAGAUGCAUUGACCAAUCGCAAGGUAAUUUUUAAAGCCAGAAGGUGAUCUCCUUUCAAAAAUUUUUCCUAGGCGCUUGUUAUUUUCUUGAGUCUCUUCAGAUCCAUUUCUGUUCCUUUAUCGUGAUCUUGCUGGCUUCUCAAUGCUUUGAUGAAAUGAACUGUGAAAUUUAUCUUUUUCACUAUAGAUUGAUGUCGCGAAAGAUAUGCGGGGUAUCCUCAUCAGAAUUGGGAGGUUCAAGUCCUUAGAAAUGCACUACACGAAAGUCCACCUCAAAUCCAUAAAAAAGCUGUGGGAGGAGUAUGACCUGCGACAGCAAGCUAGUAAGCUUGCAAAUGAGAAGAAUGAGUUAGAAAGGUUCUCAAGUGGUCACGAUUCUCAAUCAAGUUCAACAAGGUUUUCAUUCUCAAGUUGGUUGCCUAGUUUCUACGAUGAAUUGCUACUUUAUCUUGAACAAGAGUGGAAGUGGUAAGGUUCAUGUCCUUGUUCUUUUACCAUAUAUCACCUAAAUGUACUUCCUCAUGGCAAUCUAUUAAUGUAACAUACUGGUUGGAGAAACGCGUCAUCAGGGCAGAUUUCAGAAGUUUAGCAAAAUUAAAGGUGUUGAUACUUAUCUCCGUGACUUAAAAAUUACAAUCUUUUCAAAAAAUUCUGGCUACAGCAAGGCAGGAGCUGCGUGAGGUUCCACUUUUGAACUAAACAUGUGUACUUUACGAUGGGCCGAUUGUGUUGUUGCCUUUCUGAACAUUUUGUUUCCAUAUCUAAUGUUUGGAGAUGUUCUUCAAGAAAAACUUUCUUUUUGAUAGAAGGCUAGAAGUACAGUAGAUAGAUUGUAGCUCUAUUAAUUUUUUCCACCUAAAAAGCAAUUUAACUUCCCAGAUUCAAUCAGAUCAAACUUUCCUUCUCUGUUGUUAUAAUGGCCUUGAAAUCUUCAAAUAUCCACAUUUAGACUUUCUUUUCCAGGUGUAUCCUUGCUUUUCCAGAAGAUUAUAGGGCUCUGGUACCAAAGCUACUGAUUGAGACCAUGACAGCCAUUGGCCAAAGCUUUGUAUCUCGUAUCAACCUUGCUACUGGGGAUGUUGUUCCUGAGACAAAAGCACUGUCUAAAGGCAAUCUUUUACAUCGUCUCUGCAUUUUUGAAUCAAGGAUUAAGCUGAAAUCACAUAUAUCUGUAUGCGCAUUUUUGAAUCAAGGAUUAUGCUGAAAUCACAUAUUUAUUAUCUGUAUGCUUAAUGUUGUGCCUUUUGUGACCCCUUCCCAGAAAAAAGAAAUCAAGAAAAAAUAGGAAGGCCACUUGGGUAUUAUUUGGUGAGACUGUUUAUUUGGGUAUUAUUUGGGGCAUUUCAACACUUACAAUGGAUCUGAUUAUUUGACCUUCGAGGACAAUUUAUUUCUUUGCCUUUUGAUGCUGUCAUGUACUUUUAGGAUAAAAGGCAGAUUCUACAUGUAACUUGUGGGGUUUAGGAAGGGCAAAUAUACAAGUCUUAAAUUCUAGGCAAAGAUGCAUGAAUGAAAAAGGUCAAUUUCGAGUGACACUGCCUACCAGAGUAUGAACGACUGAAACACUAAACAUGAUUUUUGACUUAAAAUGUUAGGUUAACUCCUAUCAGCUAGUUGGCUUAAAGAUGCUUUCAACUGUGUUUGACUUUUUGGUCUAGGUUUGAUAACAUUAUUUCAGUGAAUGAGUCAUCUUUCAGGUUGGUAUAGGUUUAUAUCUGUUAGCAGAGAGACUGUUUUGUUGAAAUCUGUUCCAUUCCAGGCUGUAAGGUAGUAGUCAAGGCUGACUGUUUUGUAAGCCUCAUGCAGAAAAAUAAAAACUAAUCUAAUCAAGUAGAUUUUAAGUGAUAUAACAGUCUCUAGUAGCACAAUCAUCUAGAGGGCUCAUGAAAGCUAUACCUGCAUCAGCAGAUUGUCUUUCGGCUUUUUUCCAUUCUUAAUCUGGCAUUUUCCAACUAGUAAUGUUGCAAACUUGUAUCUAUGCUGAAAAGCACGAAAGGGAAAAAAAAUGAUGCUGAAGCUUGAUAUUUAAAAUUUCAGGUGUCUUAGAUAUCUUAUCCACAGAUCUGCCAAAAGGUGUUAAAGUUCAAACUAAGCAUUUGGAAGCAUUGAUUGAGUUGCACCAUACGACGGGGAGCUUUGCUCGGAACAUUCAGCACCUAUUUUCAAAUGCAGAUCUUCAGGUUUUGCUGGAUACAAUGAAAUCAAUCUACCAUCCUUAUGAAUCAUUUAAACAAAGGUAAAUCCAUAUUGUGUAGAGAUGUUGUGUUCCUGUUUUACUCCUAUUUCAUGCAAUGAUGCUUGAGAGACAAUUUACUUUUCUUCGCUAGUUGUCCAGAUGGACAUAGGUUCUUCUUCUCUCUGUAGGAGCUGUACUGCUGGUUUUUGAUGCAGUACACCUUGGCUAGGUAUCUUAGUUUUAGCAGUAUGUGUUGGUUUUUUUGUUGGGAGGUAUCUACUCAAAGUCGAUUAAGAACUGUGUAUUUCAUGUAACAUGACAAUAUUUCUUCUCUUCUCAUUAUCUCAUGGAAAUGGCUUUGGCGGUAGUAGUGAGAGGGAGGUUGUCUAAGCUGUUGCACUCAGUUUUCACUUUACUGUUGUGCCUUGAUAUUUUGUGAUGACAGCCUACUCAUUGACCUGUCUGCUAGGUAUGGACAAAUGGAGCGUGUUAUCCUCUCCGGUGAGAUUGCUGGACUUGAUCUCAGGGGAGUAACUUUUAGUCGCUUUGUUGGAGUCCAUGGAGUUGAACUCAGUGAAACCGUCCGAAGAAUGGAAGAGUCCAUUCCACAAGUGAUUAUACUUCUUGAGGCAGCUGUUGAAAGAUGCAUCAACUUCACAGGAGGUUCUGAGGCAGAUGAGCUUAUUCUUGCACUUGAUGACAUACUGUUACAAUACAUCUCCGCCCUGCAAGAAAUUCUAAAAUCAUUGAGAGCUGUGUGUGGAGUGGAUGCAAUUGAUGGCUUGGCUUCAAAGAAGGAUCUUGGAGCUGACAGAAAGGAUGGAACUUCUCAUGCACGUAAAGCUGACUUUUUGUCCAAUGAGGAAGAAUGGUCCUUUGUCCAAGCUACACUGCAGAUUCUCACAGUUGCAGAUUGUUUGUCUAGCAGAUCAUCGGUCUUUGAGGCUUCUUUAAGAGCCACUCUUGCUCGAUUAAACACAAAUCUCUCUCUUUUAGUUUUUGGCUCUAGUCUUGAUAAAAACCAUUCCCAUGUGGUCAAUGAGGACAGAAGUGGGGAACCAUCUACUAUUGGUAGAGCAGCUUUGGAUAUUGCAGCUUUGAGGCUUGUUGCUGUCCCUGAGAAGGCUAGGAAGCUUUUCAACCUAUUGGAGCAGGUACUUGAAAGAGGAUAAAUGUAAAUGUUGUUUUGGAAAAAGUUAGGAGAAAGUGUAAAAGGUAAAAACAACUUAUAAAUGUUUGUUUGAAGAUCAUGGAAAAUAUAUAUGUUUUUUAAACUUUAACAAGCAGGAUUCAGGACGGGACAAAAUAUAUGAUGUGAUGUCGUGAUAGAUGGGGAAUUGGAGCAUAUAGUAGAUAAGUGGUUUCAGUGAACUUCAAUACUAAUAUCACUCUUAGCAUAUGUCCAGUGAAUUGUUCUGAAUGAUAACAUUGAGAAAAAAAAUUCAAAAUAUUGUUGUCAAUCUUGACCCACUGCUUGUAUUUCUGAUUUAAUUGUGCCUAUUGAUUGUUUAUCUGAAAAUUUUCUCCUUGAAUACUGAUAUAGCCUAGGAAAAUGCAUGAUCUGAUCUUUUAGUCAUAACCAACAUUUGAUGUUGCAUGCAGUCUAAAGAUCCUCGGUUUCAUGCGCUUCCGCUUGCAUCCCAACGAGUUACAGCAUUUGCAGAUGCUGUCAAUGAGCUUGUUUAUGAUGUUCUUAUAUCAAAAGUACGGCAACAGUUUAAUGAUCUGUCUCGUCUGCCAGUGUGGUCUUCAGUGGAUGAACCUAGUGCUUUCCCCCUCCCAAGUUUUAGUUCAUAUCCUCAGUCUUAUGUAACCAAUGUUGGUGAAUAUCUUCUCACCUUACCCCAGCAAUUAGAACCGCUUGCCGAGGGCAUUUCCAGCAGUGAUACUAAUGCAGAUGAGGCUCAGUUUUUUGCAACUGAAUGGAUGUUCAAGGUAACUACAAAAUAUUACAGUUUACUGUCACAAUAAUAUACUUCAAAGAAAUGCUGGUCUAGCCAUCUAACAUGCUUGCAGCAAAGUGGGGCGGGUUUGCUUGUGGGGCUCGGCUGGUUUGUAAAUAAACAAGUGUUGGUGCCGCAGAAGGCUGAAACUCUUGUGAUUACACAUAUUAGACAAAAUAAUUGGAAGUCCUUACAUAUUGAGAACUUAACAGCAUGUUCUUUUGAUUGAGUUGCUGUUCUUCUUUUAGUUACUCCAAUUGGAGAACUUAACAGUUUCUCCAAUGUGGGAUGAAUAAUUUGCUUCAGUUUUCUUUUCAAACCUGCAAAAGGUUAUUGCUCAUGGCUAUGGUUUAGUUAUUCUUUCUUUUGUUUAUCAUAAAAGGUUGCAGAGGGUGCUUCUACUCUUUACAUGGAACAACUGCGUGGUAUUCAGUAUGUAACUGAUCGUGGAGCACAACAGCUGGCUGCUGAUAUUGAGUACUUGAGUAAUGUGCUUUCUGCUCUAUCAAUGCCAAUUCCUUCAGUACUUGCUACUUUUCAGACUUGCCUAUCAACCCCAAGAGAGCAGCUUAAGGAUCUUGUCAAAUCGUCGGACUCAGGGAAUCAACUAGAUCUUCCUACUGCGAACCUUGUAUGCAAGAUGCGGCGACUGAGCUUGGAUUAAUAUUGCAGUUUUUAAGGUGAUAUACCAGAUGUUUGCUUACAAGUUACCCUUUCUUGGACCAUUCUGGAGAUAUUCAGAGAUACCCAGCCUCAAAUGAGGGUUGCAAGAUCUGGAGAGAUUCAGAGAUACUCAACCUCAAUGAGGGUUUGCAGGAUUUGGGAACUAAACACUGCCUCCGGGCAUUUUAUACAGAAGGGGAGGAUUAUGUGCUCUGGCAGCAUAUGGUUCUGACUUUCAAGUCUUACUGUACAAUAUGCACAGCUUGUGUUCCCCGCAAAUUAACUCGGAUGAGUAGACCUUUGAAAUCAAAUUCCAGUUAAGUUGACAUGUUGUCCUUGGACAACUUAAUUGAUCAGAUUUUUUUUUCCAGGAGGUAUCACACGAGCAAAUGAAAUUACUUAUAGGAGACCAUGUAAGAUACAGCCUUCCUACAUUUGAAGUUCAAUCAAUAUAGGCGAUGUUUUUCCAAAAAAAAACACGGGGCUAAACCAUCUAGAGCAAUAGAAAAAAGGUCUAGCAAUGUAGGACUCUAUUUGCGAAGGAAAAAAGAACAAAACUGAAAACCUAUCUAAUCUGCAUUAGCUAUAGCGUUCAAUCACCUUCAAGCCUCCAUCACCAACCCAAGUAAUAGAUCUUCAAAAUCCCUCCAGUUGGUAUAGUAAAAUUGACGAUUUGACUCACAAAAGAAGACGCCUGUGUGCCAACAUAUGGUUCUUUUAGGAUUCGAAUGAUCACCAAAAGAGGGCUCUCCAAUUGUUUCACAAUUUUUAACCAACUUCAGAGAAAAAAAAAAUGGCUACCUCAAAAUUUUGGUACUCCAAUAACAGUUGCGUUUCAGAUGCAGCCAGCCCAUCAGAAUCAAAACCUGAAAAACUGCACCUUGCACAAAUACAUGGAAAGAUGUUCACAGUUUGCAAAUUGAAUCCGCUAUAUUUCAAUUUACGACACCCCCUUUGCAAACUUAAGAUUGAACUUCUGCAAUAAGACCUCCAAGCGAGAAUCUUCAGUGCUAGAUUCUUCAUAGGGGAGAAGACUCCCAUCCUAGUGCACAGACUAAGGCAGGUGGAAGUUAACAUACCAUGUCUGAAUAUGCAAAGAACCAAUAUAUCCAUUUCCAAACAUUCAAUGAAUGGUUCUGCCAAGCCAAAAAAGAAAUAUCUUGGACCUUGUCUUGUGUGCGACAGGUUUAUUUGAACAAAAAAUGGUUGCUAAGUUGGUUUGAAACAGCCAAAACGCCCAAGCAAAUUUCCGUGGACAAAUUCAAAAGCUAAUAUGAAGGACGAGAUCAAGAUUACCAUUGACUAUUAAGGGUCAUCCGCAACUUGCUCUUAUAUCUUUGACUAAAUUAUGUGUUCUUAUCCAUAACCAGAUUGCUUUUAAACUUCUCUUCUUUUAUGUUGUCUGGUUAGCUGCCUUUUCAUCUUCAUAGUGCCUGCAGAGUUCAACUCGUUGAGUGAACAGACAUUAAGGCACUUAAUCAAGGAAGAAUGAGUUUACCUUUUUUUCAAAAAUCAUCAGAUAAAUUAUCAGAGAAAACCUAAGGAGAUCCCUAUUCAUUAGCUCAUUGGCAGCUAAUGUAAGUGGAGUACAAGAAUCUGCAAUCGGUCAUCUGAGCAGACAAGAAAACACAAAGCCCAAACUAUUGAUAGUUAGGAAGUCAUUUUACGGUUAAGAAAAUCAAAAUUUACUUGUUACCUCACAGUUGAUCAAACUGUUAACUCCUUCAGCAGCAGUAAUAUCCAUGCACAUAUAGAGUAUCUGUUCUAUAACUACUUGAGAAAAGAUUCCCAGAGUGAUCCCAAAAAAGAAGGAACCAGAACUCUGGUAGGCAUAUCACAGAUGAUUGAUAAAUCAAUUAGAUCAACCAAAGUCUAGAUAGAUCAUUGAAUAGUUACAACAACGAAGUCAUACCUACCUCAACCUUUUCUCUCUAAAUAUAUCGAUGAUAGGGAGAUGAUACAGUCUCAAUAAAGCUGUAAGAACAAAGAAGAGUUUCACCCAUGAUGACCAUAGAACUUUGACUCCAAAAGUAUACAUUCAUGAAAACUGGUGAGUGGUGGAAAAACUACCUCUUCUCAUUUAAAAUUCAAACACCCAUCCAAUGUCC